UUUCAGAGGCCGCCCACUCCCGCCCCAGGCCAAACAGUCCUGCUCCUCAGCUGGGCAGCAGGUUCCGCACCAGGGUGGAAACCCGGGAUUUCCCGAGAACGUUGGUGCCCAGCCCAGGAAGAUCCCCUGGUGGGCAGGUGUGGGUGGAAGCGCCUCUCCUGGCUCCAGCAGCAGGUGUUCUCUUUGGCUCUUGGGGGAAUUAGAAUCAUCCUCUGCCCCGGGAAUAGCUGGCAGCUCGCAGGACGAGGGUCCGGUCCCUUGAGAAGGAGGCCUUUUCUAUUUGGGGGGACUUUUCCCCUCCGUGUUGGGUGGCACAGGAGAGAUCUGGCAUUUGUUGAUUAGAAUUCAGGCUCUGGGCUUAGCGGAGCCCCCCCUCCCCAGCCCCUUCCAGAAAGGUCCGGGCCCAACUCUCUCUCUGAAGCUCUUUUUAGGGCAGUUCAAUGUGAAAGUGCUCCUCGGCAUACAGUGAGCCAGGGGACCCCGAGGAGCUGGCCUCAGGGGCGGAGUUGGCAGGAGAUGGACCACUGACCACUGACCAUGACCGGGAGCCUCAACGGUCCCCUCCGCAGGGAGGAGAGAAGCGGGAGGAGCUCCGAGGGCCCGCAGGUGACUCAGAAAGGUCCCUAAGCACACAGGGGAAGGAAGUGACUUCAGCCAGAGUGCAGCUCCAGGCUGGCCCAGGUCACCUGUAGCUCUGUGACUGCAGGCAGCUUUUGUUACAUAGUGUCUUCGUGGAAGAGCUGAAAGUCUUUAUGAAAACACCAGAAACUGCAGACGAGCAGGGAAAGGGAAGACCACCCGCAACCCACCAGCCAGAAAGAACCGGGUGUGAUCGCCACUAGCAAGUCUGCCCAGGAGAGCCGAGACUGACUUCCUCCCUCCCUUCACCUCCCUGUGCCUCUUGAAUUAAGUUCUCCUUUGUCUUUGGGAAAAGCAAAGCCAGAAAGACUCCCUCUCAUCUCCUUCCUCACUCCCUGGACAAAGGAGCCCAAAGGACGCAGGUGUGGGGAGAGAAGGGAAGGAAAGGGCAAAUACCCCGGAAUAUUACCCAAUGCAAUAAAGUGACAGAUAACAUGCUCUCAUUCCCUCCCAAGCACCUGGGCCUUACCUACUGUAAUCACACGCGUCUAACGGUCAGGGAAAAUUGUGGUUCAAACAGGCAAGGUCUCCAGCCCAAGGUCACACAGCCCGUACCGGGUAGAUCCUGCCCGUGGUUUCCUCCUGUCUUCGUGAGUGCAUAUAGAGGUACUUAUGGUCCACCUCAAGUAAUUUGUUGGCUUCCAAAUAACAUGAAAUGUGAGAAAGAAGGAAGAAUAAUUUUUAGAGCCCAAAAUAGGUUGUUGGGUAUUUAAAAUAGUUAACAUACGUGUUUUAAUAUGACCUC